AACUGAACGAUAGUAGUUGAAAUAUAAAUUUAAAUUUCCGAUUAAUACGGUAGUUGCUGCCAUCAGAAAUAGUCUAAGGACUAUUUCGAAGAUAAAGUUUUCUUUUAUUUUAAUUUUUACCUAGUAUUAGAAGAAUUGCUGUGCUACAGGUGCGGUAACGUUACGGCGACUGGCUAUUAUAUUCCACGUUUUUGCUAACCUGCUAUGGGCAGGAGUACUAGCAUGGGAGAGGAUUAAAAUUAUUAAAAUAAAUAAUUAGUAUUGGUGUUGGAGAUCGAGAGGGAUUCGAUUCGU